rnacentral:rRNA from 1 species
GGAGCUUUCUGUAUGGGUUGAAGUCGUACCGUAAGGAGCGGUGGACUGUACAGAAGUGAGAAUGCUGGCAUAAGUAGCGAGAAAUAAGUGAGAAUCUUAUUGGCCGAAAACCUAAGGUUUCCUGAGGAAGGUUCGUCCGCUCAGGGUUAGUCGGGACCUAAGCCGAGGCCGAAAGGCGUAGGUGAUGGACAAUCGGUUGAUAUUCCGAUACCACCUAUUUACGUUUGAGAAAUGGGGUGACGCAGUAGGAUAAGAUGUGCGCACUAUUGGAUGUGCGUCUAAGCACUUAGGCAUGCUUGAUAGGCAAAUCCGUCGAGCUAAGCUGAGGUGUGAUGGGGAGCCAUUUAUGGCGAAGUAUCUGAUUCCACACUGCCAAGAAAAGCCUCUAUCGAGUGAAUAGGUGCCCGUACCGCAAACCGACACAGGUAGGUGAGGAGAGAAUCCUAAGGCCAUCGGAAGAAUUGCUGUUAAGGAACUCGGCAAAUUGACCCCGUAACUUCGGGAGAAGGGGUGCCUACGAAAGUAGGCCGCAGAGAAUAGGCCCAAGCAACUGUUUAGCAAAAACACAGGUCUCUGCUAAAGCGAAAGCUGAUGUAUAGGGGCUGACGCCUGCCCGGUGCUGGAAGGUUAAGGGGAACACUUAGCGUAAGCGAAGGUGUGAACUUAAGCCCCAGUAAACGGCGGCCGUAACUAUAACGGUCCUAAGGUAGCGAAAUUCCUUGUCGGGUAAGUUCCGACCCGCACGAAUGGCGUAAUGAUUUGGGCACUGUCUCAACAGCAAAUCCGGCGAAAUUGUAGUGCAAGUGAAGAUGCUUGCUACCCGCGAUUGGACGGAAAGACCCCGUAGAGCUUUACUGUAGCUUAGCAUUGAAUCUCGGUAUUGUCUGUACAGGAUAGGUGGGAGACUUGGAAACUUGGGCGUCAGCCUGAGUGGAGUCAUCCUUGGGAUACCACCCUGACAGUACUGGGGUUCUAACCGGCGGCCAUGAAUCUGGUCACGGGACAUUGUUAGGUGGGCAGUUUGACUGGGGCGGUCGCCUCCUAAAAAGUAACGGAGGCGCCCAAAAGUUCCCUCAGCGCGGUCGGAAAUCGCGCGAAGAGUGCAAAGGCAGAAGGGAGCUUGACUGCGACACAUACAGGUGGAGCAGGGACGAAAGUCGGGCUUAGUGAUCCGGUGGUACCUCGUGGGAGGGCCAUCGCUCAACGGAUAAAAGCUACCUCGGGGAUAACAGGCUGAUCUCCCCCAAGAGUCCACAUCGACGGGGAGGUUUGGCACCUCGAUGUCGGCUCGUCGCAUCCUGGGGCUGAAGUAGGUCCCAAGGGUUGGGCUGUUCGCCCAUUAAAGCGGCACGCGAGCUGGGUUCAGAACGUCGUGAGACAGUUCGGUCCCUAUCCGUCGCGGGCGUAGGAAAUUUGAGAGGAGCUGUCCUUAGUACGAGAGGACCGGGAUGGACCAACCUCUGGUGCACCAGUUGUCACGCCAGUGGCACAGCUGGGUAGCUAUGUUGGGACUGGAUAAACGCUGAAAGCAUCUAAGCGUGAAGCCAACCUCAAGAUGAGAUUUCCCAUAGCGUAAGCUAGUAAGACUCCUGGAAGAACACCAGGUUGAUAGGUCAGAGAUGUAAGCAUGGCAACAUGUUAAGUUGACUGAUACUAAUAAGUCGAGGGCUUGACCAAA